rfam:Micromonospora aurantiaca ATCC 27029, complete genome.
CUUGACCGACCCCAGCCACAGUGGAUGGUCCUGCGGUCGGCCCUGCCCGUACGUGGCCAGCAGCGCCUGCGCCUC